rnacentral:rRNA from 1 species
AAAACGACUCUCGGCAACGGAUAUCUCGACUCUCGCAUCGAUGAAGAACGUAGCGAAAUGCGAUACUUGGUGUGAAUUGCAGAAUCCCGUGAACCAUCGAGUCUUUGAACGCAAGUUGCGCCCCAAGCCGUUAGGCCGAGGGCACGCCUGCCUGGGUGUCAC